CUGAGUGACUUUUGUUUAUGGGUGUGUUUCUUUCUAGCUUUCAAUAGUGUCGCAUUUGUUUUAUCAUCACGGCAACUUAACUCUCAGUUAUACCAGCCGUAAUUCGCUCUUGUCUAGUUUAUGUGGUCCGUUGAAAUAACAAUUAAGUCUGCCCAAACUAGUAUCAAUUGCAAUAAAUCGUACAAGACUAGUGUCAAUCGGUGGUGAAAAUCAACGUUGUUGUGUGAUGAGCAUGUUACGAUUUCUAUUAACGAACAAAUUAGCAACGCACUUUAAUUGGGCUGGACGGAAAAAGAUUGCUUUUAAAGGAAAAAGACUUAUGAGCGUUAUUUACGCAAGUGCCAAACUAGCCUUCAAUGAGAUAAGUGGGCCAUAUACGGGAGAUAAGAUUAUUGAAAGCGCUGUAAAGGACUGGUUGAAGUUAGCAAAUAAUCGGUUAAGUUAUUCUAUUACUAAGAAAAAUAUUUAAUUAUUUUCAUGAUCUCUUAUGUAUUUUUCAUAUUUUAUUUAA